rnacentral:tRNA from 1 species
GGACUCUUAGCUCAGUUGGUUAGAGCAGACGGCUCAUAACCGUCCGGUCGUUGGUUCAAAUCCAUCAGGGUCCA